CCCUUAGAUGUCCGGGGCCGCACGCGCGCUACACUGAAGGAAUCAGCGUGGCUUUCUCCCUGACCCGAAAGGGUUGGGAAACCCGUUGAAUCUCCUUCGUGAUAGGGAUUGGGGCUUGAAAUUGUUCCCCAUGAACGAGGAAUUCCCAGUAAGCGCGCGUCAUAAGCUCGCGUUGAUUACGUCCCUGCCCUUUGUACACACCGCCCGUCGCUACUACCGAUUGAACGGUUUAGUGAGGGCCUCGGAUUGGUCUCGGCCCGCUCUUUACCGGGCGGCGCCGUUGGUCGAGAAGACGCUCGAACUUGAUCGUUUAGAGGAAGUAAAAGUCGUAACA
rnacentral:rRNA from 1 species